rnacentral:rRNA from 1 species
GAUGAACGCUGGCGGCGUGCCUAAUACAUGCAAGUCGAACGCUGAAGGAGGAGCUUGCUCUUCUGGAUGAGUUGCGAACGGGUGAGUAACGCGUAGGUAACCUGCCUGGUAGCGGGGGAUAACUAUUGGAAACGAUAGCUAAUACCGCAUGACAACAGUUAUUGCAUGAUAACUGUUUAAAAGGGGCAACUGCUCCACUACCAGAUGGACCUGCGUUGUAUUAGCUAGUUGGUGAGGUAACGGCUCACCAAGGCGACGAUACAUAGCCGACCUGAGAGGGUGAUCGGCCACACUGGGACUGAGACACGGCCCAGACUCCUACGGGAGGCAGCAGUAGGGAAUCUUCGGCAAUGGACGGAAGUCUGACCGAGCAACGCCGCGGGAGGGAAGAAGGUUGUCGGAUCGUAAAGCUCGGUUGUAAGAGAAGAACGAGUGUGAGAGUGGAAAGUUCACACUGUGACGGUAGCUUACCAGAAAGGGACGGCUAACUACGUG